UCUACUGUACAUAUAUUCACUUCAUUAGGUUACUGCUUCAAAAGGUGAAGAAUAUGCUAAAUCAGUGAAUGCCAUAUUCAUGGAGUGCAGUGCCAAAGAUGACACCAAUGUAAAGGACCUAUUCUCUAGAAUAGCUGAUACUAUACCAUUAGAUAAAUUAAAUGUCGAUUUAAAACUCGGUACGGUCAAAUUAAACA